AAUCAUUAUCGCCUUAUCGCUUGCAAAUGCAAGAGGAAAGUCCGGACAACACAGAGCACCAUACUUCUUAACGGGAAGAGUUUGUGAAAAUUAGAUAGUGCCACAGAAAAUAACCGCCAUUAUGGUAAGGGUGAAAAUGUGAGGUAAGAGCUCACAGGGUUUUAUAGUAAUAUAGAAUUCGGGUAAACCUUAUGGGUUGAAAGAUCAAAUAUACCAAGUUGUAUUUAUACUAAUAGUUGCUCGCUAUAACUUGAGGGGUAGAUCGUUUGAAUUUAUUAGUAAUAAUAAAUCUAGAUAAAUGAUAAGGACUUAUAACUAAGUACAGAAUCCGGCUUAUAGAUUUUGAUUAUAA
rnacentral:RNase_P_RNA from 1 species